AUUGAACGCUGGCGGCAUGCCUUACACAUGCAAGUCGAACGGCAGCACGGGUGCUUGCACCUGGUGGCGAGUGGCGAACGGGUGAGUAAUACAUCGGAACAUGUCCUGUAGUGGGGGAUAGCCCGGCGAAAGCCGGAUUAAUACCGCAUACGAUCUACGGAUGUAAGCGGGGGACCUUCGGGCCUCGCGCUAUAGGGUUCGCCGAUAGCUGAUUAGCUAGUUGGUGGGGUAAAGGCCUACCAAGGCGACGAUCAGUAGCUGGUCUGAGAGGACGACCAGCCACACUGGGACUGAGACACGGCCCAGACUCCUACGGGAGGCAGCAGUGGGGAAUUUUGGACAAAGGGCGAAAUCCUGAUCCAGCAAUGCCGCGUGUGUGAAGAAGGCCUUCGGGUUGUAAAGCACUUUUGUCCGGAAAGAAAUCCUUGGCUCUAAUACAGUCGGGGGAUGACGGUACCGGAAGAAUAAGCACCGGCUAACUACGUG
rnacentral:rRNA from 1 species